rnacentral:lncRNA from 1 species
GGCUGGAGGGCUGGGGGACUCACUGGAGUGAGGUUUUAGGUUGGGGGGUCGCCACCCCCUGUCCACCUGUGUUCUUUCAUGGUCCUCUGCUGCUCCCCGCCCAGGCCGGCCCCGCCCCCUUCCCAGGGAGGAGGGGCACCUGAGCCUCCCUGUGCCCAGAGCGGGCCAAGUCCUGGUGCUAGUGUGGGGUGGCGCCAGGUGCUGGGAACCCAGGACUGCUGAUACGCAGCCCAGGGAGAAUGCAAGUGACGGGGAGGGGCGCGGGCCCCGGGGUCCCCAGCAGUGUGGGUACGGCCAUGGCCUGGUGCUCAGACCCUCGUCGACCACUCUGUAGACAGCAGCCGAGCUUGGCCCCUGCAGAAGCAGAGGUUGGAGGUUGUGCCAGGCCUGGCGCUGCUGGGCGGAGAUGGCCAUCACUCACGGGGGCAGGGGCCGAGGCGGGUCAGAGGACGUGUGUGCAGGGCCAGCAGAGUGCUCCCCAGAGCCUGGAGAUGCAGUCUCAGGAGCAGGACAGAGAGGGCUUGGCGCUGGGCCCACAGGACUCAGUGUGCGCCGGGGACGGUGCGAUCCGGAGCUGUGGCUGGCGCUGCCCGCACCCCUUCCCCAGGCCGGGCAGCGUGUAGUGCGCUCAGCCCACCCCCAGGGGCUGGCCGUACAUGCAGCCAUCCUUCAUGCUGUGGCUGGACACGCAAGUCCUGAGUGGCUGGUGGAGAGAGGAAGGGCAUCAGGGAGGCACAACCACAGCCUCAGCCUGCAGUUUGCAGGGCACGGAGAGCCGGGAAGGGCAGACAGGAUGGGCAUCGGCAGAGGGGAG